GUCGAACGGCAGCACGGGGAGCAACCCUGGUGGCGAGUGGCGAACGGGUGAGUAAUACAUCGGAACGUGUCCUGUAGUGGGGGAUAGCCCGGCGAAAGCCGGAUUAAUACCGCAUACGCUCUACGGAGGAAAGGGGGGGAUCUUAGGACCUCUCGCUACAGGGGCGGCCGAUGGCAGAUUAGCUAGUUGGUGGGGUAAAGGCCUACCAAGGCGACGAUCUGUAGCUGGUCUGAGAGGACGACCAGCCACACUGGGACUGAGACACGGCCCAGACUCCUACGGGAGGCAGCAGUGGGGAAUUUUGGACAAUGGGCGCAAGCCUGAUCCAGCAAUGCCGCGUGUGUGAAGAAGGCCUUCGGGUUGUAAAGCACUUUUGUCCGGAAAGAAAACCUCUGGGUUAAUACCCCGGGGGGAUGACGGUACCGGAAGAAUAAGCACCGGCUAACUACGUGCCAGCAGCCGCGGUAAUACGUAGGGUGCAAGCGUUAAUCGGAAUUACUGGGCGUAAAGCGUGCGCAGGCGGUCCGCUAAGACAGAUGUGAAAUCCCCGGGCUUAACCUGGGAACUGCAUUUGUGACUGGCGGGCUAGAGUAUGGCAGAGGGGGGUAGAAUUCCACGUGUAGCAGUGAAAUGCGUAGAGAUGUGGAGGAAUACCGAUGGCGAAGGCAGCCCCCUGGGCCAAUACUGACGCUCAUGCACGAAAGCGUGGGGAGCAAACAGGAUUAGAUACCCUGGUAGUCCACGCCCUAAACGAUGUCAACUAGUUGUUGGGGAUUCAUUUCCUUAGUAACGUAGCUAACGCGUGAAGUUGACCGCCUGGGGAGUACGGUCGCAGAUUA
rnacentral:rRNA from 1 species